AUCUCCCUUGAGAUCCAGGGUUACAGAGAAGAAGGAGCCCAGCCAAGUGAGUGGCCUGUGAGCUUCAGCUUCAAUGGCUUCAUGGUAAAGGGUUAUCUGCCACAGAAAAAAACCAAUGUGCUGAGACCACAGUGCUGUGAGGAAACCACGCUGGCAGUGGGGAGAGGCCGCUUGGAGAGGGUGGUGUUCAGCCA